rnacentral:lncRNA from 1 species
UCAUUUUGUAUCUUUGCCAUGAUCUCUUGGCCCCUAGCGACCGCUUGGAUCAUAUCCAUUAGUUUCCCCAUCUGGGACCUCACUUGAGAUACUUCCUCUUGGAGUGUGGCUUGGUUUUGCUGGAGUUUCUCCAUGACGACUUAUUGAUGUUUUCAUGUAUUGUACCAGAAAGUCAGCUUUAGAGUGUUGUUCUGAUCAAGAAAAGGGUGGAUGGAUGAGUUUUUUUUGUUUUUAUGUUUUUUUUUAAGAUGCAAAUGAUGCAUGAUUUUUUUUGGUUUUUAUGUUAAUGCAAAGCUCUUUGGUUAAACGUGUUUGUUUAUUGCAAGAAAUACUUAACGAUUUACGCUUGUAAUCAAAGAUAAAGGAAAGCACACUAGAG